rnacentral:rRNA from 1 species
AUGGACUUGACCUCGGGCUUCUUGGCCUCCUCCUUGGGCACGGUGACGGUGAGCACGCUGUUCUCCAUGGACGCCUUCACCUGCUCCGCCUUGGCGUUCUCCGGGAGCCGGAACCUGCGCAGGAACUUGCCGCUGCUGCGCUCCACGCGGUGCCAGGUGUCCGUCUUCUCCUCCUGCUCCUUGUUCCGCUCGCCGCUAUCUGGAGGAUGUUGCCGUCCUCCACCUCCACCUUCACCUCCUCCUUCUUCAGCCCCGGCACGUCCGCCUUGA